CCAGCACCUGUGCCCUGUGGUGAGGAAACCCAGGACCUGGGAGGAGCAGUGGCUUGUCUGAAGUUGGGGCCCAGUGCAGGCCCAGGCUGCGGACCCCUUCCUCCCUGUGCGGCAGUCACGGGCUCCCUCCCCUGUAUCUGCUCUGAGGGCUGGGCUGAGCAGCUGUGCUCCGGCCUGGGUCCACAGGGAGGGCCAGAGUGCCGGGAAGCCUGUGCUCUGAGCUGGCUUCCUAGGAGGCCAGAGCUGCAGGAGCCCUGGGGGCCUGGUGGUGCCCAGCCAGAGGAAGGAACACGUGGCUGCUGCACGUGUGAAGUGGGAACUCAGAGCUGUUUGCCGGCUGUAUCACAGGACCAAGAAGUGAAAACCAGAACAAAGAGACAAGAGCCAUUCCUCAGGAUGGAAUUACCUACGUAGCCCUGGGGUUUGAUCUUGCCAAGACAAUUUGGAGUCUGUUACACUGUUGCAACACAUCAACUACCAACAAGAAAAUGAGACUCCGGAGUGAAGUAUUUGCCUGAAGGCAUGCAGCUGGUAAGAGCGGAGCCAGAACUCACGUAGAGAGCCUCUGACCAUGCUUGAAGUCCCUCAACUGCUCCCUCAGUUACUACGUCUAUAUAAAAAAUGGUAUAAAAGAGACAUAUAUUAGGCUCACAGAUUCUGUGGGUCCGGAACUGGCCAGGACAUAGCUCCACCAUAUCUGGGACCUCAUCUAGAGGACUUGAAAGAGGAGUCAUCUCAGGACUCAACCACUCACGUGUCUGGGGCCCGAUGCUGGCUUUCUGCUGAGACCUCAGCUGGGACUGUCAGGCCAAGCAACCUACAUGUAGCCUCUCCAUAGAGCUGGGAGUUCCUCGCAAUAUAGCAACCAAGGUCCAAGGGCAAGCAUCUUGAGAGAGUCAGGUAGAAGCCAUAUUGCCUUUUAUGAUCUAGCCUCAGAAAUCACACAACAUUAUUUCAACCACAUUCUAGUUGUCAAGGUAGUAACAAGAUCCUCCUGCCCAGGUUCAAAGACAGAAAGAGUAGACUUGCUUUUCCUCUUGGUGGGGAGUAGCAGGGCUCUGGCGGAGCACGUAGGAUUCGAGAUAUUGUAGUGGGCAUUUUCAGAAAAUGCAAUCAACCACACCCUACUUUUUUAUUAGCUUAUUUAUCUUCUUGGUCUUCUAUUGGAAUGAUUGAUGCUUGUUAAAAUUAUUCGCUUCUUCUGCCUACAGUUUUGGAAGGUAUACAUUCUUUUUGACUUUUUAAAGUGUGUCCCCUUGAAUUUUGGCAACAUAAAAUGUUUUAUAUGCAACAUGAAAAUCCAAAUGUAAUUGGUGUCUCUG